rnacentral:rRNA from 1 species
GGUAUUUUGACCGUGCAAAGGUAGCAUAAUCAUUAGUUUUUUAAUUGAAAGCUGGAAUGAAAGGUUGGAUGAGAAAAAAGCUGUCUCUAUUUAAUUUAUUUAGAAUUUUAUUUUUAAGUUAAAAAGCUUAAAUUUAAAUAGAAGACGAGAAGACCCUAUAGAGUUUUAUUAAUUUUUUUUAUAAAAUUAAUAGUAUUUUUUAUUUUUAUAAGAAUAAUUAAUUUAGUUGGGGUGAUUGAAAAAUUAAAUAAACUUUUUUUUUAUAUGUACAUAGAUAUAUGAUUAAUUGAUCCUUAAUUUAAGAUUAGAAGAUAAAAUUACCUUAGGGAUAACAGCGUAAUUUUUUUUGAGAGUUCAAAUCGAAAAAAAAGAUUGCGACCUCGAUGUUGGAUUAAAAUAAAAUUUUGGUGUAGAAGCUAAAA